AAAGGAGAACACAAUUAUAGCAGAGGACAUUGGAGAUUAAGGACUAAAGAAGGAAAUCAAAACAAAAGGUAUUCUUACUAGCUAACUAAUGUUCUAAGCAAAUGUGCUAUGUUUGAAGUCUAUGCUCAUUUUAUAUUGCAUCAAUUUGAAUCUAAUGUGAUUGUAUAAUGGUAGCAUGAACUAACUAGCUACUAAUUCGUUGAUCAGAUAUAAACUUUGCUGUGUAUUUGACUGCUGUGGGCUGAGUUAGAACAAAGGGGUUUAGGUUUGGCUGAGGAGAUAUAAGGAGAAUGAAAUGGGUUGGUGACAUAAACAAGUGGUUGUGAAACUGAUAGCUUGAAACUAUGCCUACUAAGUGAGAUUUUAUCAUAUUGAGACAACUUUGGGUACUGAUUUAGCAGCAUACUAAGGCUGAAAUGGA
rnacentral:lncRNA from 1 species